CUUUUUAGACAGAGGUCAUACAUAAGACUGGAGGAGGAGGCAGGUCUGCAUUAUGACAACACAUGGUGAUGGCUACAUAUAUGCUGAGAAGCAUCCUUAAUGGCUCAGCAAGAUGAAAUGGAAAAAUCUGUGGAAUGCGAUCCUCUGGAGAAGCCAUUUUACCAGGCUACUUUUUCAGACUUGAUGCCAGGUGCCAUUUUGGGGACGAAUGUGUUCAACAGCUGGCCUGCUUGCAAGAACCCCAUGUGGCUUCUCAAAGGAACAGGUUGUAAGGCCAUUGUGAGAGACCUUCUUCGACUUCUUCACCUGACUCUGUUGAAACUUAAUAGACUGUAUUGCUUUCCUGACACCGCACAGCAGAUUACUGGAUCCUGUUCUCCACAAGUAAAUCGGAGCUGUACCAGUGUGCCUUCUAGUUCUUUUUUAUAGAAUUCAGAUCAACCUGAAUGCUCGCCUUGCUCCAGGUGGCAAACAAGUCUUGCUGUCCCCUUUCAAGCAGCCACAUUGUGCAGUCGUGUCUAUGACUGAAUAAUACUAGUAGAAGCAAUCGCUUUAUAGAUGACAGAAUUCAGUUAUCUAAACUAUGGUGUGAAAAAUCAAGCCUGCAUCUCUUAGCAGACAUACCCAGAAAAGGCUUGCUCAUUGGAGCAUUUACUGAGCACAAGGCACAAUCACAUCCUCUUCAUGUGGGAAACUGUGAUUGGAUAGCUAAAUAGACAAGGCUAUAAGCAAAAGGACGAAUAGCUGUACCGGCUAUAGUUCAGACUGGCCUGGUUAACACAGCAAACAACCACUGCCUAAUUGGCUGCAGGAACCAAACUUGUGGCUGACAGAUCAUCACCAGUAUGUUCAUCAGUUACAAUUAACCAUAUAUUGUGUGGGCUGUCGUUUUAGCCAAUUGUCUUUAUUAGAGGCAGAGCAAAAAGUUGCUGCGUGUACAGAGGCUCUUUUAAGAGACACGCACUGUUCUGCCCCUGUUUCUCAUAUGCCCUCUUCUGUUUUCUCUGCUCCCGCAAAACGUCAGUUCGGAAAAUACUUUUUGGAUUGCUGAGCAGGGAGCUGCUGUGAUGAAAAUGAAAAAGAAAAAUGUAGAGGAGCAGCAGUCAUGGAACAGAGAAAACCUUUCGACAGAGCUGGCUUUAAGAGUAGGCUCCAAACCCACGAGUUUGAGAGCUACAAAUUUACCAGGGACACAUUUGAAUCCCUAGUGUAAAACAGAAGAUGGCAUUGCUGCUAUAAUGUAACAGAAAAUAAUUUAGCAUUAAGCAGCCUCUUUGGACUAAGUACCAGAAACAAACAUUUUGCAGAAAGUAUUCAGAAUUGUAUUUCAAAAUCCCUCAGAAUGAAUAUAAGAGAUUUUAGCACAAGACUUUCUUGUAACGAAUGUCACUGAUGCCUCACUUAUAACUGCAGCAUUUAAAGCUAUGUC
ensembl:lncRNA